CGUCCCCUGCUUGGCCAGGGCCUGCUUCACCUACACCUACUCACGUGGCUGACCAUCCUACAUACCUGCCCCCAGCCCCAGCUAAUGAUUGUUCUAACCUUUAGGUCAGAACAUCUCCACCUGGUAGCCAUCAAAGGGAAGGUGAGGGGCGUGUCUCGCUACUGGUUUCCCUGGUAACCCGUGAGCCAACCUGACGUCAUUUCCUGCAUAGCCGGUGUCCUCCCCACUUCUCCACCAGCCAAGCCCGCCGCCACGUCCUGUCCAUCUUCCUGUCUUCCUCUGCGCACGGUGGGACAUCUCUCAAGGACCUCGCUUCAGGCAGAGGAAGGUAUCUUUAUAGAAAGAAUUGCUCUUUCUCUUCCUGUGCCUGUGGGAAGUAAAUGAUCUACCUGGUGAACUUCACUGGUGAAUUUUAAUCACCUGUGAUCUCUGGGAGUAAAGAAAAAGGCCUUUUUAAACUCCAGCAGGGUGUGGGCCUCUGGUGUGCCGAUUGUUCUCAGGGGACACUUGGCCAUACUUCCUUCAUUCACUGCCACAGAACCAGAAAAUGAAACAAAGCAAAAAUGCUUGUCAUCCCGGGACAGUACAAUGAAAUGAGGGCUUCUUCCCUCGGGAUCAUCAGUGGAGCUGGAAACAUUGCUACCGUGUGACCCUGGACCAGGUGGAAGAAACCACAUAUGGAAGGCUCUGGUGGAAAGGAUCAUGGGGAGGCUGAUUUGGGGGCAGUAGGAAGGUGGAAAAGGAGAACACAGGGAGCCUACCUGGCAAGUCACCCUAAGGUCUCCAACAGAGACAGCAAAAUGGAUCUAAGUCUCUUAUAUUACCUAGUCACUCAAAUCAUCCCCCAGCCAUUUCUUUUUCUCAAAAACUAUGACACUAGUAUAAUUUUAAAAUUCACAUAGUAUAAAUAAAAUUAGCCAUCCUCCACCCCACUUCAACCCUAGGAGGCUUCUUUCUCCCUGGAGGCAACCAUCUCCCACUUACUUAGCUUCUGUCUCUCCCAGACACCCCUAUAUUUGUAAACAAUAUGCAUCUUAUGCAUUUUUUUGGCCAUGCUUGCAGCAUGUGGAAGUUCCCAGGUCAGGGCUCAAACCAGCACCACAGCAGCAA